CUUCCCAGGGCCUCAUGGGUAGUUAAUUGAGAAUCUGGGGCGGGAACCAGGCCUCUGGGAUCCUUGGCCAGGCUCCUGCUACCCCAGCCUCCUCUGUGCUUGGCAACUUCAAAAGAAAUCAUAGCCAGUUCCCAGCAGAGAAAGUGCCUGCUUUGGCUCUGUCAGUGGCAGGGCCCUCCCAGGCAGGCUGGAGCGAGAGCGAUUAUGUAGGUCGCUUGGUAAUCAGAAAGAGAGCUCGAGCCCUUUAAAUGCUGGCUGUUUCGUUUGGUCCCUGAAGAUUGGAUUAGCAUCGACUGUCUGCACUGAGCUUGUAGAUAAAAGAGCCACACCAAAAGGGAACAGCAGCCUGCAAGGCCCCUAAAACAGCGCCUGGCACAUAAGAGGCACUCAAUUACACAGCUAUGGAAUGUAAGAGCAGGCUGUUGGUGGGGGAAAUAGAAAUGUCUUCCUGGAAGAGACUUGAAGAUCAUGGAGUCCAGCCUAAGGCUCAGGUUUCCUAAGGACAGAUUUAAGCAAAGCAGAGAUUCCCCAGCUGUGGAGGUCAGAAGUCUGAAACCAUUUUCACUGGACCAACAUCAAGGAAUUGGAAGGGCCGGUUCCUUCUGGAGGCUUUGAGGACAGAAAUUCUUCCCGGCCCUUUGUAGCUGCUGGUGGCCCGCCUAUGUUUCUUGGCUUGUGGCCCCUUCCCUCCUCUUCAAAUCAUACCAUUCCAGUCUUUUUUUCGAUCAUCGCAUCACCUUCUCGUCUGUAGUUAAAGCUCCCUCUGCCUCUUCUAAAAACCCUUGUGAUUACAUUAAGGCCCUACCACCGAGAUAAUCCAGGGUAAUCACUCCAUUUCAAGAUCCUUAGCUUAAUGGCAUCUGCAAAGUCCCGUGCGCCGUAUAAGGUAACACAGUCACAGGCUGUGGGGAUUAGGACAUGGCUAUCUUUCGGCGGCCCAUUAUUCCGCCUGCCACACCUGCCACAUGGCACUAAUUUGCAAUGCUUACAGUCAGCCUAGAAUUAGAACUGGAAUGGAAUAAUGGAAUGAUUCUAAGUUAGUGUGUGAGGCCUGGCAUAUGGGAGCUGUAACAGAGGAAAAGAUUGCACGUGGCAUUUUCUCUGUUUCAAGAACCAUGCCAGCCUCAUUGAAAUUCCACAUCCCACUGCCUUCUCCUGACACUGUAUCAUUUACAAUGCUCCUGAGGCUAGUACAGUGACUCAUUAUUAUUAGUUAAUGAAGCAUCUAAGGUCUAAGCCCACAGUCAGCAGCUGGGAUAAAGAAUGAGGACAGAGCUGGGCUGAAGGGAGUCUGUAGCUGGGAUGUAGACCGGAGGAGACAGAGGCCAUGCUGUCCUCGGGCAUUCAUUUCACAAACAUUUACCGAGCACUUAGUAAUGGUUAGCAAUGGUUCCUGGAACCAUAUGGGUAGUCCUGACCCUAGAGAAUUCACAGGCCAGUGAGAGAGACCGACAUGUGCAUGAAUUUGCCAAGACGCCCAUGAAAAUGCUCAGAAGGGGGUGGGUGUUGGGGGGCAUUGAGGACAGUUUCUGCCUCGGGGUAUCAGGGGAGGAAGCUUUUCGGAGGAGGGACAGCUGACAUGAGUCUUGGAGGCUGACCAAACAUUCUGAGUUUGGGAAAGGGAAGGGAAGGGGGCUUGGCCAGGAGAAAGAGGUAGACGGGUGCUAAUGACAACAGUGAAAAGGCCUUUUUCACCGCGGCUGGAGUGAAAUGCAGAGAUAUUCUGGCAGGAGGAAAAAAAUAUAUGGAAAAUUUGCCUUUAGGCUGCAGCGGUGGCAGGGAGGUGACAUUUGGCUGAUGAUGGGAACAGAGGCAGAGUCCACGAGGGAGUCUGGCUUGGGGAAUAAAGAGCCAAACGAAAUCACUCUCUGAAUAAAUUCAGGAGGCUGCGUGGAGAGGCGAGACGCUGAUGCGGUAGAGACGGAACAGAGUUGGGGUCACAUGAACAGCUCGAGGGUGUACUAGCACUGUGACUCUGGUGAGUUCCUUAAUUCGUCUGGGCCUCAGUUUCCUCAUCUAUAAAAUGCAAAAAAUCAUAACCACCCACGGGGAUGGUUGUGUGGUAAGGGCCUGGUCUGUCUUGUUUUCUGCUGUACAUCCUGCAUCUGGUGCUCGUUUGUAAACCGAAUGAGUAAUGUCGCAAAAAAAGGUUGGCAGGGUGUCUGAUGAAUAAUAAAUGCUUAGUGAGUGAAUUAAGUUAUUAAGCUUGGGAGAAAAAUUCAAUGAUCAUCAGCCCUGAUGUCUCGCUGAGUGGCCCCUGAUAUUCCUGAUAAACUCUCGCCCCCUAUUGGGACAUGGCAGCCUGAAACCAUGGGAAAGAUCCCUGAAGCUGGACUGGGGGAGAAGGUGGGCCUUGCUUCCAGUUCUGUCACUCAUGAACUGUGAUUCUGAGGACGCCCACCACGUUUGGUUUUCUCCAGGCCACACCCAACUGGGUUUGCCUCUUUCCUAGACAAGGUUACCGAGGGCUGAGGAAGGCUACCAGGCCACUUGGGGUUUCUUGAGCUUCAUGCCCUUUCCUUCCUUCUCAAUCAGCAGUCCCACAGAUCUUCCAGAACUUUCCAUGGGUCUUGCACCAUAGAAAGUGUAUGGUCUCUGGAGCUAUGUGACCUGGAACAAGUUUAACCUGUCUGACCUCAAAGAAAGGUUUUAUUUCUUUACCUGGGCGUAACAGCUACCUGAAUUUGAAUCUUAGUUCCAGAAUUCUUUAGCUGUGUGACUUCUAGAGCUCAACAUCUCUGUUCUUCAUGGGUACUGUAUGGCUAAUAACACCUCCUCCCAUGCUUACUGUGAGGAUUGGUUCUCAAGGCUGGCAUAACCAGACUCACACCUGAAGAUUGGGUCCUACCUACCUCAGGCUCUCAGAUGAGUCCCGCCUCAGGCUGUCCAGAUGCUAAUUCCACCUGUGCUGAGUCUCUUCACUCUGGGUACCAGUGUUUGAGACCCAGGGGCUAGAUUUUUCAUCCAGCCUACUGAUGGAACACCAGCUUCUUCCCCAGGGCUGGGAGGAUCCCUGUAGAGGAAACCUCUGAAGGCUGAUUCUUCUCAUUUCCUCCUCAAAUACAAGUGGGGACGGUGAUCCUGGCCAAUAACACAUGCAUCACACCAGAGACCGCUGGGCCCAGAGGGAUAAUUAUUUUGAGAGAAAAGACUUCAAAAGGAAGCCUAUUAAUCCCUGCCUGGUUUUUUUUUAUUUCAUUGAAUAAGCUAUCACUAAUUUUUGUGGGCCCUCAAAUAAGAGAAGACAGUGGCUUUCCCUUCAAAUGUUUCAGGAGACUGUUCUUCACAUCACCAACAAGUGCCAUGUGAUGUGAGAUCUUUCUGCAGCUGCAGGGAGGGGGAGGUGGUCAAGAACAGACCUGCUACCCCUCAGUGGACUUUCUGCCUCUCUCUCCCUCUCUCCCUGCCUCUCUAACCCCCUCUCUCUCAAUCUC